rnacentral:lncRNA from 1 species
CGGGGCUGGGGCAUGAGCCUGAAGGGUCCUCACCUGUGCUGGAUCCUCAGGUGCAGGCACCAGCUGAGUCUGCUCUGGCUCCUGAGGUGAUGGCGGACCCAUUGCCUGCAGGUGCUCCACUCUCAGUCCCGUCAGAGGAAGCUGAGGUUGCCUCUGGGUCUGGUAACCCUCCAGCCUCUCCUGAGCUGCAGAGGGCAGAGAGGCGGAGGGAACUAAGUUCCCGCAGGAGGAGUGCUCACCUCCAGGCCAGGAGAGGCGAGUCACCUGUGGACUGGGGCCGCCCUAUGCCUCGGGGCAGAUAAAAGCCAGCCACCCCCCAGUCCCAGGUUGCGGGAGCAACAUUGUUAGUAGCCUGUUCCCUCCUGUACCCUGUCCUGCUCUUCUGCCAGAGUUCCUGACCUCACCUGACUCCCUGCAUUGGACCCUGCUUCAGCUUUGAUGGACAGCCUCCAUACCACACCCUCAACCUCGGACUGGACUCGGACCUCGCUGCACAGUUAACCCUUGGGACCAGCACACCCUGAUAGACCUGGAAAUGUCUCCUGCCUGAAACCUUGAAAAGAUACCGCCAACCAGUUAGACAAUACUGAGCUGGAAGGACCUAUAGUCUGACUGUGCAGAAGAUAGCUUCUCAUGGUCCUGCGUUCCUAGGAAUGGCCUUUGACUUUUUUUUUUUUUUUUAACAAUUUCUGCCCCCAGCUUGGCAGCAGUUCCCCCAUCACCACCCC